GGAAGGGUGGCCGAGCCGGCCGAAGGCGGCAGUUUGCUAAACUGUAGUAGGGCAUAAACCCUACCGAGGGUUCGAAUCCCUCCCCUUCCGCCA
rnacentral:tRNA from 1 species